rnacentral:rRNA from 1 species
CCCGCUGAACUUAAGCAUAUCAAUAAGCGGAGGAAAAGAAACCAACAGGGAUUACCUCAGUAACGGCGAGUGAAGCGGUAACAGCUCAAAUUUGAAAUCUGGCCUCACGGUCCGAGUUGUAAUUUGUAGAGGAUGCUUCGGGCGUGGUCCGGUCUAAGUUCCUUGGAACAGGACGUCAUAGAGGGUGAGAAUCCCGUAUGUGACCGGGUGCCGCUGUCCAUGUGAAGCUCCUUCGACGAGUCGAGUUGUUUGGGAAUGCAGCUCAAAAUGGGUGGUAAAUUUCAUCUAAAGCUAAAUAUUGGCCAGAGACCGAUAGCGCACAAGUAGAGUGAUCGAAAGAUGAAAAGCACUUUGGAAAGAGAGUUAAACAGUACGUGAAAUUGUUGAAAGGGAAGCGCUUGCAACCAGACUUGCACGCGGUCGAUCAUCCUGCCUUCUGGCUGGUGCACUCGAUCGCGUUCAGGCCAGCAUCGGUUUUGGUGGUUGGAUAAAGGCUCUGGGAAUGUAGCUUCUCUCGGGGAGUGUUAUAGCCCAGGGUGCAAUGCAGCCUACCGGGACCGAGGACCGCGCUUCGGCUAGGAUGCUGGCGUAAUGGUUGUAAGCGACCCGUCUUGAAACACGG